UACGUAGGCAGCGAGCGUUGUUCGGAAUUACUGGGCGUAAAGAGUGUGUAGGCGGUGCUCUAAGUUCGGUGUGAAAUCUCUCGGCUUAACUGGGAGGGUGCGCCGGAAACUGGAGUGCUCGAACGUGGGAGAGGAAAGCGGAAUUCCUGGUGUAGCGGUGAAAUGCGCAGAUAUCAGGAGGAACACCAAUGGCGAAGGCAGCUCGCUGGGACGGUACUGACACUGAGACGCGAAAGCGUGGGGAGCAAACAGG
rnacentral:rRNA from 1 species